GGAAAGUUUCUUCCAAGCAUUAAGACCGUGAUGUGAGUCAGCUUCAGAGAAACAGCAUCAGAUCACCUGAGAAUCAGCAUGCAAGCCUCAGGUUUGAAAGGCACCAGGACACCUGCAAGAGGAGCCCCAGUUGUGCCUCCUCCAUGAUGAGGCUCAUACAGAGGUGCAGCCCCUCAGAUGGUGACAGGGGGAGAGCAACCAGUGCCCUCACAGCACUGUCACUGUGUGUGACAAUGGUCAUGAAGCAGGGAUGGGAAGUGCUGCCUGGACUGCCCCCAGCAGAAAGCCCCGUGGUGUCCCUUCCCCGCUGGUGCAGAGGCUCCGGGCUGCCACCGCAGAUCAUUUGACAAAUUUCACGGGCUUUUGAUACAGGCACAAAGGUUCACAGCCUGCUCUUGUCUAGUUGGUGAGACCGUCCAGUCCCUCUUGUGUGAUUUGCGGUGGCAUUGCAGACUUUGAGAACAAUCUGAAGGACAAACCCCAAGCUGUUUGGAUGCUGCUCAGCCCCAAAUACGGUAUGUUUGACAAUUAAUUGUCUAUGGAGCAGCUUUGUUAUACACUACUAAGAUGCACAAAAUCUUCUACAGAAGGAUC
rnacentral:lncRNA from 1 species